rnacentral:rRNA from 1 species
UCGCACCUACCGAUUGAAUGAUUCGGUGAAAAUUCUGGACUGUGGCUCGGACGCCUCCGGGCGACCUUGCUGUGGGAAGUUAUUUAAACCUCAUCAUUUAGAGGAAGGUGAAGUCGUAACAAGGUUUCCGUAGGUGAACCUGCGGAAGGAUCAUUACCACACCCUCAAAUA